rnacentral:rRNA from 1 species
AUUGAACGCUGGCGGCAUGCCUUACACAUGCAAGUCGAACGGUAACAGGUCUUCGGAUGCUGACGAGUGGCGAACGGGUGAGUAAUACAUCGGAACGUGCCUAGUAGUGGGGGAUAACUACUCGAAAGAGUGGCUAAUACCGCAUGAGAUCUACGGAUGAAAGCAGGGGAUCGCAAGACCUCGUGCUACUAGAGCGGCCGAUGGCAGAUUAGGUAGUCGGUGGGAUAAAAGCUUACCAAGCCGACGAUCUGUAGCUGGUCUGAGAGGACGAUCAGCCACACUGGGACUGAGACACGGCUCAGACUCCUACGGGAGGCAGCAGUUGGGAAUUUUGGACAAUGGGCGCAAGCCUGAUCCAGCAAUGCCGCGUGCAGGAUGAAGGCCUUCGGGUUGUAAACUGCUUUUGUACGGAACGAAAAGCCCUGGGUUAAUACCCUGGGGUCAUGACGGUACCGUAAGAAUAAGCACCGGCUAACUACGUGCCAGCAGCCGCGGUAAUAC